GGGGGUGACCAGGAUUCGACGGGGAUGAGGAAGCUCAGAACUGCGUACCGUGGUCUCCGUGUCCACGUUAAAGAAGCGGUAAACUAUCAAGUGCCAACUACAACUACGCACUGGCUGCUUAACUAGCUUAAGCAACCCGUUCCUUGUGCUUUUUGCCCAUCGGGGGUACCUGGAACGUCGAAUGAGAUGGGAUAGGGUGGUUUUGCGCCGAAGGGGACCGCCUGAAAUCCUGUCACAAGCAGGGUCCACUUUGGAUAGCGUGUGGUCAAUCCUGUCUACCGGAGUUCCCACAUGCGAACCUCAAAAGGUAGGCUAGGUACGUAAACGUUUUGAGAGGCUUCUCUUCGGACCGGGGUUCGACUCCCCGCACCUCCACCA
rnacentral:tmRNA from 1 species